rfam:Euryarchaeota archaeon RBG_16_68_12 RBG_16_scaffold_6644, whole genome shotgun sequence.
GCCCAGGUCGCGAAGCCCGGUAUCGCGGCGGUCUCGAAAACCGCUUCCUGCAAGGGAGCGCAGGUUCAAAUCCUGCCCUGGGCG